rnacentral:rRNA from 1 species
GUCCAGACUCCUACGGGAGGCAGCAGUGGGGAAUAUUGCACAAUGGGGGAAACCCUGAUGCAGCGACGCCGCGUGAGCGAUGAAGUAUCUCGGUAUGUAAAGCUCUAUCAGCAGGGAAGAAAGUGACAGUACCUGACUAAGAAGCCCCGGCUAACUACGUGCCAGCAGCCGCGGUAAUACGUAGGGGGCAAGCGUUAUCCGGAUUCACUGGGCGUAAAGGGAGCGCAGGCGGCACGGCAAGUCUGGUGUGAAAACCCGGGGCUCAACCCUGGGACUGCUCUGGAAACUGUAAAGCUGGAGUGCGGGAGGGGCAGGCGGAAUUCCUGGUGUAGCGGUGAAAUGCGUAGAUAUCAGGAGGAACACCGGCGGCGAAGGCGGCCUGCUGGACCGUAACUGACGUUGAGGCUCGAAAGCGUGGGGAGCAAACAGGAUUAGAUACCCCGGUAC